rnacentral:rRNA from 1 species
GGGUGCGAUCAUACCAGUGUUAAUGCACCAGAUCCCAUCAGAACUCCGCAAUUAAGCGCGCUUGGGCCAGAGUAGUACUGGGAUGGGUGACCUCCCGGAAAGUUCUGGUGUUGCACCCU